rnacentral:tRNA from 1 species
GACAUUGUUUUCAUUGAACUAUCGCCCGACUUCUAAUCGGACGGUCGCAGGUUCGAAUCCUGCCGGGGUCGCCA